rnacentral:rRNA from 2 species
UUGAGAGUCCUGAAGGAACGUUGAAGACGACGACGUUGAUAGGCCGGGUGUGUAAGCGCAGCGAUGCGUUGAGCUAACCGGUACUAAUGAACCGUGAGGCUUAACCUU